rnacentral:tRNA from 1 species
GCUGGCGUAGCUCAAUUGGUAGAGCAGCUGACUUGUAAUCAGCAGGUUAUCGGUUCAAGUCCGAUCGCCAGCUCCA